GACGAACGCUGGCGGCGUGCCUAAUACAUGCAAGUAGAACGCUGAAGCGAGGAGCUUGCUCUUCUUGGAUGAGUUGCGAACGGGUGAGUAACGCGUAGGUAACCUGCCUUGUAGCGGGGAUAACUAUUGGAAACGAUAGCUAAUACCGCAUAACAAUGGAUGACACAUGUCAUUUAUUUGAAAGGGGCAAUUGCUCCACUACAAGAUGGACCUGCGUUGUAUUAGCUAGUAGGUGAGGUAAUGGCUCACCUAGGCGACGAUACAUAGCCGACCUGAGAGGGUGAUCGGCCACACUGGGACUGAGACACGGCCCAGACUCCUACGGGAGGCAGCAGUAGGGAAUCUUCGGCAAUGGGGGCAACCCCGACCGAGCAACGCCGCGUGAGUGAAGAAGGGUUUCGGAUCGUAAAGCUCUGUUGUAAGUCAAGAACGGGUGUGAGAGUGGAAAGUUCACACUGUGACGGUAGCUUACCAGAAAGGGACGGCUAACUACGUG
rnacentral:rRNA from 1 species